UUUUUAAGUUUUCCAUCGAUGUAGGCUAAGGUCAAAUCAAAAUAGGCGCAAUUGGAAGUUGGAGUUGCAAGUCAAUCUUGAUCAGAAAAGAAAGAACGAGAAGGAAAAAAGCAAAUUCCAGAUUUUUCGGUGGAAAUGGCAAGUGACCUUGGCCUUCAGAACUUGGCCAUUGGAGAGCUCAAAGCUUGCAAGAGACAAUGCAAAGAGAAGUGUUGGGAGGACCAGGCCGGAAAGAGCAGCCAUUGAAGAAAAUUACACACAGUGCAGAAACAAGUACUCCACAAACUUGAUAUGAACAAAAGAUGACUCCAGUGCAGCUUAUAUAAAUAGAGAAUCAGAACAAGACCAUAAUAAAUGGAAAGCCCCAGUCGGUGUGUUUUCUAGUUGGUGGUAAUCAAAUGCUUUCACCUAUUUUCCCAACAGGGAUUUAUUACACCGGCCAGCUCAGAUAUUUUGUGGUUUUUUUUAAUUUUUUU
rnacentral:lncRNA from 1 species